rnacentral:lncRNA from 1 species
UGCUAGGCUUGGGGGGAAAAAUGAAAGAGGCGUUGAAAAGCUUUACCCAAUGUGUUUUCAUUGUGUAAAUAAGAAUGAAAUUUUAUGAUCUUCAUGUUUUUAGGUAAGUUAAGGUUUUUGGUUUUUUUUUUUUAGCUAAUUUUUACUAUUUGUCUGGGGGCAUUGAAAAUGAAUUGAGCUUCCUUCCACUGAUUUUGGGAAUCUUAUUGAUUUAAUAACAUGGCAGGAUUUACUUUUGCCAAGGUUCUCUUUCUGGACACUGCUGGGAUGUUUUCUGUGGGUAGUUAGUGGACUUUAGCACCCUACUAACACAGGAUGGCAAAGUUUUGACCAAUAUUUUUUUUGGAAGUACAGAAUAUGCCUUUUCAUAUGAAAUGUUUUCAGAGCAGCUUCCUUCUGCCCUUAUCCACUCAAAUAAAGUUCUGACAUGCAAAUAAAUUUUGCAUUAGCAGAGAUAUAUGACAUCUACAGUUAAGGACUAUGGCCAACCAAUUAUACCCACAUGCCAUUUUCUACUUUUACAAACCCCUGAUAAAAGAGAAAAGUCUUGAAGACAGCAUUUCACACAUAAAAUAUUUCUUUUAUAGCAAAACGUGUCCAACUGAUUUACGAGGUCCUCUCAAGGAGAACAAAACACACACUAUAAAACUGAAACUCACAGAAAGAUUUCCCCAGCUUCUUUAGAAAAAACACACUCAAAUUGCACGGGGUAUAGAUUUUCAUAGUAUAUAAUGUGAAUUCUUCAUGGAAGCUGUGCUUUCAUCCUGGUGAGUUUAUUUAUUUCUAUGGUAGUAUAAUUUUUUUUAAAAAACAAUACAUUUUCUCAAGAUACUUGUCCUUGAAUUAAAGGCAUCACUGGAAAAAUUUGACCCAUAAGUCAGGGAAAUGCAAGGUGCAUUUUGCCUAAUUUGGGACACCUGAAUCAGAAUUGUAGCAGGGUUCAGGGUGGCAGACGAUAGCCCACUGGGCAAACCUGGCAUGCACUGUUUGUGAAAAUAAAACGUUGUUGGAGUCUGGACGGGUCAUUAAGUGCUGUCCGCGGCUGUCUUCCUGCUGAAGUGGUGGAGCUGAGUGGUUCUGAUGGACAUCCGGCCCAUGAAGCUGAAAAGCCUACUGGCCCUUAGUAGAAAACGUUUCCCGAUUCCUGGAUGGAUGGAAAAGGACCAGUCUUUCUGGCAUCAUCAGAAUGUCUUCUGUUUUCCAGGGGCACAUCUGGAGGCCCCAUGGAAUUUUCCUAACCGUCGUGUGGAGUGUGUCAACAAAACGGGACCGUCUGCAUCAGGGCAGUCAUGAAAGGGUCCCCAGCGACCUAAGUCCUUUUAAGUGGAGUACAAUGGACCCAGAUUCCAUGAGAGAAGCCGCCAUGCACAGUGGCACUUGGGAGGAAAAGAAAAACCCUCUCGUUUCCUUAUUACCCGAACACACUGACGAUCCAUUUGUAAAAGACGGCCCAGCCAGCAUCUCCCUCCCUGAGAGGGCGGUGUGUGCUGCUGAAACUCUGAUUACAACUGCUCUUAGGAUGAAGUGACUGGAGCCCAGAUACCUUAUUUAGCAAUCAGUGCUCGGCACAAGGACUUGCUGUGCCAACGAAAAGGAAGCGAGGCAUUUUGGCUAGUCACCGCGUUUUUGCUGCGUCACAGGGAGACAGAAGAUGGGCUGCUAUUUCGUCGGCUAAAUGCUAUCAUUUUAAGCACCGUUCCAAAGAAAACAGGGAUCUUGCCAGAGGAAAAUAACAUAUACCAUAAAGGAAAAAGAAAUGUGCAUCAAGGCAAAUAAACAGCUCUCUACUAAGGGCCUAGGAUCUUGCUAGACGAGUCAUUUCUCUGGUUGAAAAGCAGUUGAGAAAGGCAAGACAAGGGGGGCGGGGGCCCAGCAGGGCACCUCUGAGCCCUUCCUGCUGCUCUUCAAAGACAGACGCAUUUUCCUUUCUACGGUCUCCUUGCAAGUCUUCUGUAGGCCCUGCCACCUUCAGGCUGACUGACUGCCUCCUUCAAAUAUCAGCAUUUGGCUCAGAAGAAAAGCCACGUCUGCCUACACAAUCUCACAAUCCGGCUUCAGCAAAGCAUGAGUUAAUUCAACUUCAUACUCGUGAACGUGAAGCGGGGGUUGGAAGGAAUGAAGGCUGCAGGACACCCAUGUACCAAGAAAAAGAAAGACAAAUUGGUUGUUUUAUCUACUUUACAUCAUGAUGGAGUCCUAAAAAGGGCCCCAUGAAGGCAGGCAGCCCAGGGAGGAAUGACUGGACGGUGACAUUGUGCAGGGGGUCUGGAAGUUGCCAGCGCAGGGGUUAGCAGCUGCAGCCUGGCCUGGUCCUGUCUGCCUGGCUGUCAAACCCAGAAGACCGUGGUUUCUGGUGGCCUCUGUGUGACAGCGGAGGAGGUGGGGCGAGGCCUGGAAGUGAAGCAUCUCGUGAGCCACUUAAGUGUUUAUGAAGCUCGCUAAUGUGCUUAAAUGAACGAGAAGCAGGUACUUGCUCCCAGGACCAGAGCCACCAAAGCAAUUUCCUCUGCAGCCCCUCAUACUUCGCACACUGGAAGCUUGCAUUCUUUCCCAGAGGACAGCCGGAUUACAGCACCGCCUCUAAUGCAACCCGAUCUGGUUUCUUUGAGCGCCGCGGUGAACGUGCAAUCUAUCUCAUAAAUGCAUCGCAGUGUUCCACAAAUCACCCACGUUCAUCCCUUGAGACGUCUUUAACUCGGGGCUUAGAGUUGCAAAUGAAUUCUCCUAUGGAUCUAUUAUUCCAUCAAAUAGCGGAGAGAGGGGACUAGCUUGUGCAGAGCCUUCAUAGAGCUGGGCUAAAUUCGAUUAUGCAAAGUCUAACGAGCACCAUUCAGCAAAACCAUGGUGGGUGUGAGCUGCAGGCCAGCCCCUCCACUGGGCCAUUAUCCAGGGGUAAACACCACUCGUGGGUUAGUUCCACGAGUUACUGGCUGAUUUGACCUGUGAUACUCCAAGGUGGAAGUAACCAAAUAAUAUGUAUCAUGAGCCCCAAGAACGAAGCCAGUGGAGAGUGGUACAUGCUAGAGGGUAACGCCUGGCCCUUUGCAGGACAGCACGUCAGCCAUGCGCCAUGGGACGAUGGUGGUGGCUGGGACACAGGAGGCCACGGCAGGAAAUGGGCAGGUGGGUGGGUCUAUGUAAGCUGGCUUUAGACUUCAAUCCACAAGCAUUUGCAGCUCAACUACUCAGCGUCUUAUCUUAUUUAAUCCUUUCAGCAAUAAACACUCUUUUCACAUGUAGUAAGGUUAAGGAGUCUACAUCACACCCUUUAUCAUUAUUAAUAAAGGGACACACCCUCCAGGGAUCCUAGGGAACCUCCUACCCACCCUGUGGUCACUCUAGGGAAAGGAAAGCUCUCAGGGACCGACGGGAGCCUGGGCACAUGCGCCACCACUCUCUCCUUUAUCCCCUCUAGCCCGGCUUGCUGGCUCUCACUUUCUUUUGUGCACUAGAACUCACGUACAAGUUGCACACCCAAACCCUUGCAUGCUGCAUUUCAGAGUCAACUUCAGUGAUUUUUGAGAGUGAUUUUGACAAUCCCAGUCAAAAUUCUAGCAGGUUUUUUUUUUUUACAUGACAAGUGGAUUCUAAAAUUCAUAGGAAAAUGCAAAUGACCUAGAAGAGCCAAAGCAAUUUUGGAAGGAGUAAAGUCGAAUGGCUGACGCUACCAGAUUUCAAGAUUCACUUGAAACGCACAGGAAUCAAGACAGGGUGGUGUCGACAGAAGGAAGGCGUCAGAGCAGGGUGACAGGAGGCAGGGCCACACACAGACGGCUGAUUGAUACCCGACAAAACCGCCGAGGUAAUUUCACAGGGAAAGGAACUCUUUUGAACAAAUGGUGCACCAACAAUUGGAUAACCAUACGGAAAAAAUUUAAAAAACAGAAGAACAUUGACCCUUCACGCACAUCAAACAUAAAUUAACUCAGAAUCCAUCAUAGGCUGGGUGUUGUGGCUCAUGCCUUUAAUCCUAGCACUUUGGGAGGCCAAGGCAGGCGGAUCACCUGAGGUCAGG